GGUUAAGCGACUAAGCGUACACGGUGGAUGCCCUGGCAGUCAGAGGCGAUGAAGGACGUGCUAAUCUGCGAUAAGCGCCGGUAAGGUGAUAUGAACCGUUAUAACCGGCGAUUUCCGAAUGGGGAAACCCAGUGUGAUUCGUCACACUAUCAUUAACUGAAUCCAUAGGUUAAUGAGGCGAACCGGGGGAACUGAAACAUCUAAGUACCCCGAGGAAAAGAAAUCAACCGAGAUUCCCCCAGUAGCGGCGAGCGAACGGGGAGGAGCCCAGAGCCUGAAUCAGCAUGUGUGUUAGUGGAAGCGUCUGGAAAGGCGCGCGAUACAGGGUGACAGCCCCGUACACAAAAGCGCAUGUGCUGUGAGCUCGAUGAGUAGGGCGGGACACGUGGUAUCCUGUCUGAAUAUGGGGGGACCAUCCUCCAAGGCUAAAUACUCCUGACUGACCGAUAGUGAACCAGUACCGUGAGGGAAAGGCGAAAAGAACCCCGGCGAGGGGAGUGAAAAAGAACCUGAAACCGUGUACGUACAAGCAGUGGGAGCACAGGUUUACCUGUGUGACUGCGUACCUUUUGUAUAAUGGGUCAGCGACUUAUAUUCUGUAGCAAGGUUAACCGAAUAGGGGAGCCGGAGGGAAACCGAGUCUUAAUUGGGCGUUAAGUUGCAGGGUAUAGACCCGAAACCCGGUGAUCUAGCCAUGGGCAGGUUGAAGGUUGGGUAACACUAACUGGAGGACCGAACCGACUAAUGUUGAAAAAUUAGCGGAUGACCUGUGGCUGGGGGUGAAAGGCCAAUCAAACCGGGAGAUAGCUGGUUCUCCCCGAAAGCUAUUUAGGUAGCGCCUCGUGAAUUCAUCUCCGGGGGUAGAGCACUGUUUCGGCUAGGGGGUCAUCCCGACUUACCAACCCGAUGCAAACUGCGAAUACCGGAGAAUGUUAUCACGGGAGACACACGGCGGGUGCUAACGUCCGUCGUGAAGAGGGAAACAACCCAGACCGCCAGCUAAGGUCCCAAAGUCAUGGUUAAGUGGGAAACGAUGUGGGAAGGCCCAGACAGCCAGGAUGUUGGCUUAGAAGCAGCCAUCAUUUAAAGAAAGCGUAAUAGCUCACUGGUCGAGUCGGCCUGCGCGGAAGAUGUAACGGGGCUAAACCAUGCACCGAAGCUGCGGCAGCGAACGUAUCACUUAAAGCGAUUCAGCGGGUUACGAUUGACGGAGCGAAGCGACGUCAAAGCGUAUACAAAGUCGAGUCGGUUUAAGGAUACGUUCGUUGGGUAGGGGAGCGUUCUGUAAGCCUGUGAAGGUGGCCUGUGAGGGUUGCUGGAGGUAUCAGAAGUGCGAAUGCUGACAUAAGUAACGAUAAAGCGGGUGAAAAGCCCGCUCGCCGGAAGACCAAGGGUUCCUGUCCAACGUUAAUCGGGGCAGGGUGAGUCGACCCCUAAGGCGAGGCCGAAAGGCGUAGUCGAUGGGAAACGGGUUAAUAUUCCCGUACUUGGUGUUACUGCGAAGGGGGGACGGAGAAGGCUAUGUUGGCCGGGCGACGGUUGUCCCGGUUUAAGCGUGUAGGUGUGUGUUCCAGGUAAAUCCGGUUCACUUUAACACUGAGGCGUGACGACGAGGCACUACGGUGCUGAAGCAACAAAUGCCCUGCUUCCAGGAAAAGCCUCUAAGCAUCAGGUAACAUCAAAUCGUACCCCAAACCGACACAGGUGGUCAGGUAGAGAAUACCAAGGCGCUUGAGAGAACUCGGGUGAAGGAACUAGGCAAAAUGGUGCCGUAACUUCGGGAGAAGGCACGCUGACACGUAGGUGAAGUGAUUUACUCAUGGAGCUGAAGUCAGUCGAAGAUACCAGCUGGCUGCAACUGUUUAUUAAAAACACAGCACUGUGCAAACACGAAAGUGGACGUAUACGGUGUGACGCCUGCCCGGUGCCGGAAGGUUAAUUGAUGGGGUCAGCGCAAGCGAAGCUCCUGAUCGAAGCCCCGGUAAACGGCGGCCGUAACUAUAACGGUCCUAAGGUAGCGAAAUUCCUUGUCGGGUAAGUUCCGACCUGCACGAAUGGCGUAAUGAUGGCCAGGCUGUCUCCACCCGAGACUCAGUGAAAUUGAACUCGCUGUGAAGAUGCAGUGUACCCGCGGCAAGACGGAAAGACCCCGUGAACCUUUACUAUAGCUUGACACUGAACAUUGAGCCUUGAUGUGUAGGAUAGGUGGGAGGCUUUGAAGUGUGGACGCCAGUCUGCAUGGAGCCGACCUUGAAAUACCACCCUUUAAUGUUUGAUGUUCUAACGUGGACCCGUAAUCCGGGUUGCGGACAGUGUCUGGUGGGUAGUUUGACUGGGGCGGUCUCCUCCUAAAGAGUAACGGAGGAGCACGAAGGUUGGCUAAUCCUGGUCGGACAUCAGGAGGUUAGUGCAAUGGCAUAAGCCAGCUUGACUGCGAGCGUGACGGCGCGAGCAGGUGCGAAAGCAGGUCAUAGUGAUCCGGUGGUUCUGAAUGGAAGGGCCAUCGCUCAACGGAUAAAAGGUACUCCGGGGAUAACAGGCUGAUACCGCCCAAGAGUUCAUAUCGACGGCGGUGUUUGGCACCUCGAUGUCGGCUCAUCACAUCCUGGGGCUGAAGUAGGUCCCAAGGGUAUGGCUGUUCGCCAUUUAAAGUGGUACGCGAGCUGGGUUUAGAACGUCGUGAGACAGUUCGGUCCCUAUCUGCCGUGGGCGCUGGAGAACUGAGGGGGGCUGCUCCUAGUACGAGAGGACCGGAGUGGACGCAUCACUGGUGUUCGGGUUGUCAUGCCAAUGGCACUGCCCGGUAGCUAAAUGCGGAAGAGAUAAGUGCUGAAAGCAUCUAAGCACGAAACUUGCCCCGAGAUGAGUUCUCCCUGAGACUUUAAGUCUCCUGAAGGAACGUUGAAGACGACGACGUUGAUAGGCCGGGUGUGUAAGCGCAGCGAUGCGUUGAGCUAACCGGUACUAAUGAACCGUGAGGCUUAACCUU
rnacentral:rRNA from 1 species